rnacentral:rRNA from 1 species
AUUGAACGCUGGCGGGAGGCCUAACACAUGCAAGUCGAGCGGAGGGGGGGACGAGUGAGAAAUGCCGAGGAAUCUGCAUGGUAGUGGUGGAGAACGCCCGGAAACGGGCGCGAAUACCACAUACUAUCAGAUGAUCCUAGGUCGGAUGUGCCAGGUGGUUGGGUAAAGGCCUACCCAGGCGACGACACGUAACUGGUCUGAGAGGCUGACCAGCCACACGGGAACUGAGCCACGGUCCAGCCUCCUACGGGAGGCAGCAGUGGGGAAUAUUGGACAAUGGGCGAAAGCCUGAUCCAGCCAUGCCGCGGGUGUGAAGAAGGUCUGCGGAGUGUAAAGCACUUUCAGUUGUGAGGCGUUACCAACAGAAUAAACACCGGCUAACUCCGGGCCAGCAGCCGCGGUAAUAC